GAUGAACGCUAGCGGCAGGCCUAACACAUGCAAGUCGAACGGUAGCACAGAGAGCUUGCUCUCGGGUGACGAGUGGCGGACGGGUGAGUAAUGUCUGGGAAACUGCCUGAUGGAGGGGGAUAACUACUGGAAACGGUAGCUAAUACCGCAUAACGUCUUCGGACCAAAGUGGGGGACCUUCGGGCCUCACACCAUCGGAUGUGCCCAGAUGGGAUUAGCUAGUAGGUGGGGUAAUGGCUC
rnacentral:rRNA from 1 species